AACUUUGAGAGAAUUCUCUCUCUCACAUGAACUUUGUUUAGCAUAAUUUUCUUGCUGUUUCUCUGAACUCUCUGAAGAACUAUCUAGCUUGUUGCUUGCUAGUUGUUGUUCGACUUCCUGAUUUUCUGUGGUAGUGCUCACAUCAGCUGUUGCCUUUUCGUCACCUUUGCCAGGAUUUACAUUCUUAUCUUGUUCUUUUAACACUUCGGGAAUUUUGUUUUCCACAGGGGUAGUUUCUUCCAUUUCUAAGGAACUGGUGACCUCAACCUCAUUUACUGACUUGACAUCAUUUUCCAAUGAACCGGUGAUAUUUGCAAAUGGUGAGCCAGUGACCUCAGGCUUGUCUGAUGCUAGAUCAUCUUCAACAGUAGCAGCA
rnacentral:lncRNA from 1 species